rnacentral:rRNA from 1 species
UACGGAGGGGGCUAGCGUUGUUCGGAAUUACUGGGCGUAAAGCGUGCGCAGGCGGUUUUGUAAGCCAGGGGUGAAAUCCCCGGGCUCAACCUGGGAAUGGCAUUUGGGACUGCAAGGCUGGAGUGCGGCAGAGGAGACUGGAAUUCCUGGUGUAGCAGUGAAAUGCGUAGAUAUCAGGAGGAAUACCGAUGGCGAAGGCAGGUCUCUGGGCUGACACUGACGCUCAUGCACGAAAGCGUGGGGAGCAAACAGG